AGAUAUAGGGAUAUCGUUCGUUAUUUUACUUUAGACUAAUAUUUGUUUGAUUUAAAUCCUUUCUUUUGAAGAAAGAUUUAACCAAAAAAAGUUCAUAAACGUGUGGGAUAAAGCGACUUGAUAGAUCAGUAACGUCACAUAAAGAAAGAUAGAUUGCGCUGGCUGUUCAGGAUACUGUAGAGUGAAACUUUAACCGUUUCAAAUAUUUCCGUAAUUGCAAACGUUGAUACAAACGAGGUUUCCGUAAUAAUUUUUGGAAAGUAAAUGAAGAUACGAAAUUUAGAAAAUUUAAAGUGAAAAAAAAUAUAACGCGAAUGUUCUGAAUAAUUAUACUGGCAGAUAAUUAUUUCGCUGUGAAUCUUCAGUUGCAAACAAAUAUGCGACACGACCGUGAACAUCGAUCCAAGUUUGGAUGAAACUACUAGAAGAGCAUCGUGUUUCGUUGGAAUUUCAGACAUGAUGUACAUAGUAAAUGUGCUAGCUCGAAUAACGGAAUAACAAUACCAUAACAAUAGAGAACUUACUCUCCAGUCAGAAAUUCUGGUUAAAUAGUGUACAAGUGUGGCCAUUAUAC